UACGUAGGGGGGCGAGCGUUGUCCGGAUUUAUUGGGCGUAAAGAGCGUGUAGGCGGCUUGGUAGGUCUGCUGUGAAAACUCGGGGCUCAACCCCGAGACGUCGGUGGAAACCACCUGGCUAGAGUCCGGAAGAGGAGAGUGGAAUUCCUGGUGUAGCGGUGAAAUGCGCAGAUAUCAGGAGGAACACCAAUUGCGAAGGCAGCUCGCUGGGACGUUACUGACGCUGAGACUCGAAAGCGUGGGGAGCAAACAGG
rnacentral:rRNA from 1 species